rnacentral:rRNA from 1 species
UACGUAGGGUGCAAGCGUUGUCCGGAAUUAUUGGGCGUAAAGAGCUCGUAGGCGGUCUGUCGCGUCUGCUGUGAAAACUCGGGGCUUAACCCCGGGCCUGCAGUGGGUACGGGCAGACUAGAGUGCGGUAGGGGAGACUGGAAUUCCUGGUGUAGCGGUGAAAUGCGCAGAUAUCGGGAGGAACACCUGCGGCGAAGGCGGGUUGCUGGGCCGACACUGACGCUGAUGCGCGAAAGCCAGGGGAGCGAACGGG